rnacentral:rRNA from 1 species
ACUCAAAGGAAUAGACGGGGGCCCGCACAAGCAGUGGAGUAUGUGGUUUAAUUCGAAGCAACGCGAAGAACCUUACCAAGGCUUGACAUCCAACUAACGAGGCAGAAAUGCGUUAGGUGCCCUUCGGGGAAAGUUGAGACAGGUGGUGCAUGGUUGUCGUCAGCUCGUGUCGUGAGAUGUUGGGUUAAGUCCCGCAACGAGCGCAACCCUUACGGUUAGUUGCUACGCAAGAGCACUCUAGCCGGACUGCCGUUGACAAAACGGAGGAAGGUGGGGACGACGUCAAAUCAUCAUGCCCUUUAUGUCUUGGGCUACACACGUACUACAAUGGCGGCGCUACAACGGGUCGCGACCCCGCGAGGGGAAGCAAAUCUCUUAAAAGCCGCCUCAGUUCGGAUCGCAGGCUGCAACCCGCCUGCGUGAAGUCGGAAUUGCUAGUAAUCGCGGAUCAGCAUGCCGCGGUGAAUACGUUCCCGGGCCUUGUACACACCGCCCGU